AUUGAACGCUGGCGGAAUGCUUUACACAUGCAAGUCGAGCGGCAGCGCGGGGCAACCUGGCGGCGAGCGGCGAACGGGUGAGUAAUACAUCGGAACGUACCCAGUUGUGGGGGAUAGCCCGGCGAAAGCCGGAUUAAUACCGCAUACGACCUGAGGGUGAAAGGGGGGGAUCGCAAGACCUCUCGCAGUUGGAGCGGCCGAUGGCGGAUUAGCUAGUUGGUAGGGUAAAGGCCUACCAAGGCGACGAUCCGUAGCUGGUCUGAGAGGACGACCAGCCACACUGGAACUGAGACACGGUCCAGACUCCUACGGGAGGCAGCAGUGGGGAAUUUUGGACAAUGGGGGCAACCCUGAUCCAGCCAUUCCGCGUGAGUGAAGAAGGCCUUCGGGUUGUAAACUCCUGGACUGGGGACGAGGAAGGACGGUACCCCAGUAGAAAGGGACGGCUAACUACGUAG
rnacentral:rRNA from 1 species